rnacentral:lncRNA from 1 species
CAGUGUUGAAUUGAAAGAAACACAGUCUAGCCACCAAAAAACAUGGAUCUCUCCUCAUGGCAGCUGUAGGAAACACAGGAACUCCGUGACCUGGAAAAUGUGGGACAACUGCCACAAGGUGACCCUGGAAGGCUGGGGUUGAGUACCAGUAGAAACCUCAUAUUUACCUGGAAGAUUACUUUUAGGAAGCUUGAAGAAUUCUCUCUUCCAACUUGGUUAAUCUGAGUUCUGUGGCACCUACAAGAGAAAUGGCUGCUUAUAUGUGACAACCUGCAGAUCUGAGCAGCAGGGGAACAAAGGCAGGGCCAACACAAUGGCACUGGUCCCGUUGAGUCCUGGGGAGUCCUCAGCUUUCAGGAGUCCCCUGAAUAUGGGGCAACCCCACAG